AUUGAACGCUGGCGGCCGGCCUAACACAUGCAAGUCGAACGAGUGGCGGACGGGUGAGUAACGUCUGGGAAACUGCCCGAUGGAGGGGGAUAACUACUGGAAACGGUAGCUAAUACCGCAUACCAUCGGAUGUGCCCAGAUGGGAUUAGCUAGUGGGUGGGGUAACGGCUCACCUAGGCGACGAUCCCUAGCUGGCCUGAGAGGAUGAACGGCCACACUGGAACUGAGACACGGUCCAGACUCCUACGGGAGGCAGCAGUGGGGAAUAUUGUGCAAGGGGCGCAAGCCUGAUGCAGCCAUGCCGCGUGUAUGAAGAAGGCCUUCAGGUUGUAAAGUACUGUCAGCGGAGAGGCGGUACUCGCAGAAGAAGCACCGGCUAACUCCGUGCCAGCAGCCGCGGUAAUAC
rnacentral:rRNA from 1 species